UUCUGUUAACUUUAACGGAGAAGAAUCAAAAUACAUUUUUAAAAUUAACACUGUUAAUUAGUAUAUUUGAUACUAAUUAAAUCGAAUCAUCGUUAACCAUUUUUCUCUAUCAUUCUUCUCUAAAUUUGUUAUCGAUUCCAAUCCCAAAAGCCCUAUCAAAAGGUGCGAUUCCAGCUGCUGCAAUAAUAUGUGCGACUGAACAAGCGGAGGUCUAUGAAAUCAGAAACCCAAAGGUGCGAUCGACUACAGCUACGACAAUGGGUGCGACUAAACGGGCAAAGGUCUAUAUGAACGGGCUGAACCCUCUUCGUUGCUGCGAUCGAUUCCAGUGAGACUUUGCUUAAGGUAAAGCAAGCUUUUUUCAUCGAAAGCUAACAUAAAUGCCGCUACGAAGCUUUCUUGGGUUUCCAGUUUCGCGAUUGGGACGAAGAAAUGGGUUUUCGAUGUGGGAAUUGGGAUUUUAGCAGCCUCGAUUGUUGCGAUUUCAGGUGGGCAAAGGUUGAAACUCUCAACAUUUUUGAACCACCAUAAAUAAAUCUCAAUCUCAGUGGGCAAAGGUGGCUUUUGAUAUAGCCAUGGCCGAACACAAACGUUUAAGCAACCAAAUAAUUGUAUCAAGCUAUGUAAAUGGUAGCAAACUCUCAUCAGAAAAACUUAGAACCUUAUUGCUUGUAUGCAAUCCACUGGAGCUAAUGUUAUCAAACUAAUAGUUGAAGUGCAUAAUAUCAUAGAUGUAGCUCCAAUUUUCCAUUUGCUUACUCAUUGUCAGGUGCCAUUAAUUGCUACUGCAGUGGGCAGCAGAGGUCUUAUAAGCCAACUUUUGGCACCUAAGUUUGGUGAAUUUUUAGUGUAUGGUUAUCUAAAAAGCCACCCUAUUCCUGGCUUACCAACUUUGGUUAGCCUUAAACAAAUUUAUGAGCUUGAACAUGUAAAUGAGUACACAAAAAUCUUUGGCCUUAUUUCAAAUCCUGUUGGUCAUAGUAAAGGUCCUAUUCUACACAACCCUGCUCUGAGACAUAUUGGAUACAAUGGAAUUUAUGUUCCCAUGAUGAUUGAUAAUGUCAAUGAAUUCUUUCAAACUUACACAAGCAUGGACUUUGCUGGUUUCAGAUGAAUAAAGCUUGGAUGAUUCUGGAGAAUGCGACUCAAGGGACUUUAAAUAACAAGUUACAUGGAUUGGGGUUGCAUCUCUUAGCUGGGGUAAAGCCAUCUGAGAUGUUUUUGAAGUCUAUACCUAAGGAGGUCACAACUGUCGAAGUCACCUACCCUUCAAGGUGGACAUGGUAACUCCUAUGUCCUCACAAUUAACAUAUGAGGGGUUUUUAAAUGAGAAAGCAUACUAUUGGAUUGAAGCUGAAAUCAUAUUAAAAAUAUCAACCAAGAUUUUUUUACAUGUCGUGUGAUUUUUGUAAUAAGGAACUUAUGUUCUACAACGACAAUGAAGAAACAGAUUGUGAAAAUCCAAAAUGCAGAAAAAGAUGUAUUCUUACACCACGUGCAGGGACAUAUGUACAACUCGACGAUGGUACCGAGUUGCUAGAUGUUGUGAUGUUGCAGAAAACAUAUUCUCAUGUACUGCAGUUCAAUUAAAAUCAUAUUGGGACGAGAAACAUAAGUUGUUUGUCCAAAAAAAUUACGGAGCAAUUAUCAGCCAAAAAAUGGAGAAUUCAGUUGUAUGUAGAUCCAAAACGAACAAUGAGUUCAAAGUACAAUCAAUUCACCAUUCAAGCAGCUGAACCAAUGGAAGAUUAGGCAGAAGUUUCACUAUACUCUUUUUAGUUUUACUAAUAAUAUUCCAUAUAUUAAGAAUUUUUUUUAAUUUUUUUUUUUCUAUUUUAAGAUCGCACAUUCACUUUAAUUUUUGUGUUCAUAAUGUUUGCUUUAAAAUCUGCAAAACUUAUGACUUGUUCCUCCAAAUUUUUUAUAAGUAAAUAAUAAGUAUUAUUUAGUUAUGACUUAUAUAUACCCAAAUUUAUUUGAAUAACCAAUUAUAAUAGCACAAAUAUUACUUUAAUAAAACAAAUCAUUCAUAUGAUCAUACCUUCACAUACAAUCUAAAUAAGACAAAAUAAAAAAACUUAAACUUUACCUAAAACUAAUAUUUACGUGCCUCGGCACGUAACUCCUACCUAGUGUAUAUUAAAAGUGUCUAUCUAAUGGCAUUUCUUGGUUUAACAGAAUAUACCUUAAAAAUAAAAAAAAAAUAUUCUGUUAAAUUUAACGAUGUUAAUAGGUUUAAUCUCCCGUUAAUAAAUAAACCCAAUAAUUAAACCCAAAAAAAUUAAAUAAUCUUUUUUUUAAAAUUAAACAAUCAUUUAUUUAAAUUACUGUUAAUUUUUUUUAUUUUUUAUUUUGAAUAAGCUGGAUAUUUAAAUUAUUGUACCACUUCUUUCUCUACGAAGAGGAAUGUUCGUCAUUAUUACUUACCUCAUUCAUAUUUUUAAUCAUUAAAUCAAAAUUUUGUGUUUGUAUGUUAUAUCUUAAGGCAGUACCAAGCUCACAUUAGCAGACUCAACGCCUACGAUCGCUACAAGAAAUUUAUUAAAGAUUACGUAAUGUCUGCAACUGGAGACUAUUAAAUACUAGACCAACAUUCCUCCAGUCUUAACCUCCUAAUAUUCUACACUUGGCCAUCCUUCUUCCUCAGCAAAGCUCUUAUUUGAAGACCAAAGCUUGGUAUUUAUCCUUAUGUGUCUGUCUAUACCAACAUUUCAAAUUAUUAUUUUCUAUUUUAUUACUGUGUACUAAAUUACUCUUUUCUCUAUUUGUCGCAACAUGUAUUAUAAGUUCAUAGCCGGAACAGGUAUUAUUAAUUUCAUAUCAUAUUUCACACUUGUUUCCCCAUUCAAAAAGACCUAUCUUUCGAUCUUGCUAAUUUCUUCUCUCUAGGGUACACUGCCACUGUUUUGCUCAAUAACCAUAAAUUAUCGAACUUGCUCGGAGAGCUUCAGGAACUUCAAAGUGGUCUCCAAUCACAGUUGUCCAAUUCUCAUAGCUAACAACAUUGGGUAUCAGCUGCUCAAACAUAAAUAAUCGUAUUUCAUCAAUGCAUGGUAAUGGGGUUGAAAGUCCAAUGGAUUAGUAUACAUAACAACUAAUCAAUACAAGUUUUAAUGAAAACCUGAUGAUAGAUCCUUGGAGCCAUGACAGAGGACAGAGGGUUCAUUCUCUUGACAAAAUGAUUCAAAAGAACCUCACCAACUGCUGCAAAUAUAAAGGCUCCACCACUGGCACCUAAUGCUGCUUUAAGUUUAUUAUCCUGUCAAAACAAAUAAAAAGUGUAUAAUCUUGCUUUGUGUGUUUGAUCACAACUCUCUCAAGUGUGCUGAUUUUGAAAGGUGCAAUUUCUUGAUCAUUUCUUUAGUUAAUGUUUUGUAAUUCUGUUUCAAUUCAUUCUUGAUCAUUGCCUUUA